UACUAUAUGGCAGAGUAAGUGCAUAGAUUUUAAGCAUCUAAUAUAUGGGUAUUGCCUUUAUAGUUU
rnacentral:tRNA from 1 species